AAACACAAUAUAAAUAAUAAGGGAGGGAAAAGAAAUAAUCAAAUUUGGGCCUUUGGCCCAAAUUUCCCACAUCUUGGACUUUGCUGAAAUUGUCUAAGGCCUUUGGGCCUGUUUUGCUUUUGGAAAAAAUCUGCGUAUACCCUUUACGUAUAUCACUGUAUAUGGACCGUGUUUGGGGUCCAUAUUUCUGCGUUUUUCCUUGAACAAUAGCUAUCGACUUAUGUCUUAUCAUCAAACUUGUAUCCUCAUAUUUUGCAACCUGUAAACUAUAUUUCCGGCUGUAUACGAGUGUAUACAGCAGGUAUAUCAGCCCCUUUGAGGCGUUUUGAGACCUGCAAAAUUUAAUUUCCAGCCUUCAUUCAUCGGCUUCCGCCUGUAUGCCAGUUUCGCAGCCAUUCGGAUGAUGGAUGAGCUUGACUCGAUAAAGAAGUUUUUGGGUUUCCACCAACCCGAAAUGCGAAGGGAAUGCAAACAAGAAGUCCCAGCGGACCCUCGACGAUUAACAUACAUACAAAUAGAUGGAAGAAAGAGAAUUAGAAUAGGAACACAAAUUCUAACAAGCACGUUGUCAAGUAAUUAAUUCAUAAUGGAGAUAAACAAGUAGUACACUUGAAGAAUUAAGGGUAUAGUCACGAACUAAGGCGGGAUGAGGGGAAGGGAGCUUUCUUAAUUUUGAAAACUUACAACAACUAAAUAAGAGUAAAACAAGGCACAACAAAAGCAGUCCACAUUAUGAACAGAUCAAACAUAGCAUUAUUGAAAUCAAACAUGUUAAAUGAUAGCAUAAACUAGCAUGAAUAAUGUCCGUAAGAAAUAGCAUGAUUGGGCAGCAAUACCAAACACAUGAUUAAACCGAAGAAAAUACCAUACUAGAGACGCUUACGGACACAUACAUAUAUUUCACAAUAAAAUCUAUAAGGGCAGCCCACAUUAUGGUAAACAAAUAAUCAGUGGUUAACGUAACCUUAUAUAAAGAGAAAGUCAUGCUAGUAAAAGAGAAAUGAAAUAAAAUUAUAUAUCUAUCAAUGAUUAAAGCGACUAGUCGUAUAAGUCUUAUGGACUAAGAACAUGAAACAAGCUGAUUUUUAUUUUAUUUUUUCUCUACUAAAAAAAUAAAAUAAAAAUGGAAAUCACCUAACGACAUACGGAUGGGACCAAAUGAACUUUAAACAAGUUCGAACGAGACGAAAUAAAGAUAUUACUAGUUUCACAGAAACAAAAUUGAGCCAAAGGAUUCAACAAUCAAUAUAAUAUAAUGUCAAAUGAACUCAUGCUUAAGAAUAUAUUAGGCAUAAGAAUCAAAACAAAGCGAACACGUGAUUCCCAACGAACACAAAAAGUUAAGACUAGACAAACAUAUCUCGAUUUGAGUUUUUAGAUGAGGUGAGACGUUAAUGAUUUGGUGAUUAGUCGGAAAUCAAGCCAGCAAAAAAA